UGUCUGUAGAAAAAGAUUUUAGUUACAGAUAUUUUCUGCCCGGUGGGUGUCUUAAACGGCCGCGGUACUCUGACCGUGCAAAGGUAGCAUAAUCAUUUGCCUUUUUAUUGGGGGCUGGAAUGAAUGGAAGUAUCGGAACCUUUGCUGUCUCUUUUUUUAUUUUGGAAAUUGCUUUUCUUGUGAAGAAGCACUAGUUUGGAAGAGGGACAAGAAGACCCUAGUAAACUUGAUUAUUUUUAUCUGUAAGUUUUUAUUUAAAGAAUGUUUAGGGUUUAUUGUAAUUUGGUUGGGGUGAUUGAAAAAGAAUUUAAAUCUUUUUUUAAAAAAAGAACAUAAGAGUUGAAGAUUGCUAGCGAAGUGUUUGAAUAGUAUGAAAAGUUACUAUAGGGAUAACAGCGUAAUUUUUUCUAAAAGUUCUUAUUGAAGAAAAAGAUUGCGACCUCGAUGUUGACUUGUUG
rnacentral:rRNA from 1 species